GCCUACGGAGGGCAGCAGUGGGGAAUAUUGCACAAUGGGCGAAAGCCUGAUGCAGCAACGCCGCGUGAGCGAUGAAGGCCUUCGGGUCGUAAAGCUCUGUCAGCAGGGAAGAAAAUGACGGUACCUGAGUAAGAAGCCCCGGCUAACUACGUGCCAGCAGCCGCGGUAAUACGUAGGGGGCAAGCGUUAUCCGGAUUUACUGGGUGUAAAGGGAGCGUAGACGGCCAGACAAGUCUGAAGUGAAAAUCCAGCGCUUAACGUUGGAAGUGCUUUGGAAACUGCCGGGCUAGAGUGCAGGAGGGGCA
rnacentral:rRNA from 1 species